rnacentral:rRNA from 1 species
UAGAGACUCAGAGCUGCAUAUCAAUAAGCGGAGGAAAAGAAAGCUAACUAGGAUUCCCUCAGUAACGGCGAGUGAAGCGGGAAGAGCUCAAAUUUGAAAUCUUCAAGGUUCUACCUUGACGAAUUGUAGUUUAAAGAAGUGUUUUCUGUUGGAGUUUUGGUAAAAGUUCUUUGGAAUAGGACAUCAUAGAGGGUGAGAAUCCCGUAUUUGACCAUUAUUUCCAGCCUUGUGAUACACUUUCAAAGAGUCGGAUUGUUUGGGAAUGCAGUCCAAAAUGGGUGGUAAAUUUCAUCUAAAGCUAAAUAUUGGCGAGAGACCGAUAGCGAACAAGUACCGUGAGGGAAAGAUGAAAAGAACUUUGAAAAGAGAGUUAAACAGUACGUGAAAUUGUCAAAAGGGAAGCGUUUGACACCAGUGUUGUUUUCUCGAAAAUCAAUUAAGAAUGGCUGGAUUUUGUGUUGUAUUGACCUUAUCAGCUUUCUUCACUCUUUUCGAAGUCUUUUUAAUGCACUUUUCGGUUAACAAGUCAACAUCAAUUUCUUUUGUUGUAAAAGAGUAUUAGGAAGGUGGCUUUCUUUUCGGAGAAAGUGUUUAUAGCCCUUAUGCCUCUACAAUCGGAGAGAUUGAGGUCUGCAGCGUAGAUCCUUCGGGGUUAGAUACAUUUGUGCUAAGUUAUAGCCUUUUCAUAGACAACUUGUUGACUAUGAUUAGUCAUUGUAGCUUACUCGCUUACUGCUAUUUUACCUACGCUUAGGAUGUUGACGAUCAGCUGAGCGCG